GUCAGGUUGUGAGGCUUUAUAAAAGAAUAAAAUUUGAUUUUCCUACACUUUCUACACUGAAGUGUUUGAAAGAGAGGAGUUACUUAUUCAACACGAACCUGUCAAUUCUUCAUCAGGUUGGGCAAACCUUUGUCAGCAGCACGGGUUUUUGAAUGUCUGAGAUUGUCUUACAUGCACUGAUGUCUCACUGUCUUCCAGCUAUUCAGAGCCUGGAUACCUUUGUCGACAAAUGAUUAAAAAAAAUAAGGAACGGUUGAUCCCGGGAAAUUCCCACGGGAUUUUCAACAUCUUCGCUUGCGGUGAAAGCGGGGACACACACACGCACACACACACACACACACCGGCCAGUCCCAGCACCGAGUGGGGCCAGCUUCUGUGAGCUCCGUCCAACAGCUGGACACCCGCCGCAGGAAUUCUCCUUCACGGUUCCUUGUUGCAAGGUGCGUGGCCCCCGGCGACGAGCGCGGAGCCCCCCGCCCGUGCGAGCACAGACUUAAAAAUUUUCACAUAAAUCCGCUCCUCGUAUCCACCUAAGAAUUUAACUGAAAUCUCGAGCACUGACAGCAAACUGAAUCCUCGCUGGAAGGAAGGAAAGGAGCGGGGCGGAACAGAGGAGCGGCUGCGGAGCACCGAUCCAUGCUGCCAGGCUGGGAUGUCCCCGAAUUCCUUCGCAGGGGCUGUCCCCGCCGCGGGCGAGGAGCCGCCCGGGCCACCGGGGAGCGGGCGUUGAGAGCCCUUGGGACCCACGGACAGCCGCCGGACCCGCUCGGUGCCACUCCUUGAGGCUAAAAAAAGGAGGGGCAAAAGAAAAAAAAAGGGGGGGGGGGGAAGGCAGCAGCAAAAUUGGCGGUCUCUGUUUGUGUGUGUGCGAGCACAUCCACGUAUUCCUUUCCCCCGAGACAAAGUGCUGGUGCCGUGCAUCCCUCUGUCACCACAAGGAUAUCUAAUUACUGCUGACAGACAAGGAAAGAUGUUUUCGGGCGGACCGAGGGGGCUGGCGAGGGGGCGGCGGAGUGCCAGGCGCAUUCCCGGCCAGCCCUGCACCGAUCAGUCUGGGUGCACCGAUCGCCACGGUGACUUGGGCUGCUGCUGGUUUAAUAUUGAUCCCCUAUUACCGCCAGCGAGGAGCGGGUGUUUGCUGGCCUUGCGGGAAGCAGCGGGGUCGGGCCGGGUCCUGCAGUCCUGCCUCUGGCUCCUUUGGGGUGGAGGGAGGCCGGCCAGGAUUGGGCCCUUCGUGUGCUGCUCCCACGGGAAGAGGCCGGCCAGUGGCAGCAUCCCCGUUUCCCACCCAUGCCUGCCCCCCCGUCCCGUCCCCGGGACAGCUCCCGUGGGCGUCGGGCCUUGGGGAGGAGGGGGAACUUUAUGUCCUAAUUUGUUAUGAACGGGAGCUCUUGGGGGGCUGUGGUUUGGUUUGUUGUUGUUUUGGUUUGGGGUUUUUUGUAGUUGUUUUUUUUUUUUACUCGCGCUUCUGGUGAAAAAAGAGCCAUUUGUUUACAAAGCCCCUCUGCUCCAUCUGAGCCCACCCGACGGGGCUCCCUAAAGGAGUGGGAGGGGGAUCCCUCCGUGCCAGGCCCCCUCGCCGGUUCAUUUCUCUAUUUGCAUCCACAGUUAGCUGAAGAUCAUUUUAAUAAAUAACAAUGAAAGGGGAGCGCA